UGGGGGAUAUUGCACAAUGGGCGCAAGCCUGAUGCAGCGACGCCGCGUGGGGGAUGAAGGCCUUCGGGUUGUAUACUUUUUUUGCUCUGAACAAGGCGCACUUUGGGGUGUGUUGAGUGUAGGGGUUGAUUAGCCCCGGCUAACUACGUGCCAGCAGCCGCGGUAAUACGUAGGGCGCGGGGGUUGUCCGGAAUUAUUGGGUGGAAAGGGCUUGUAGGUGGCUGGUUGCGUCUGUCGUGAAAGAUCAUGGCUUAACUGUGGGUUUGCGGUGGGUACGGGCGGGCUGGAGGGCAGUAGGGGAGGCUGGAAGUCCUGGUGUAGCGGUGGAAAGCGGAGAUGUCAGGAGGAAUACCGGUGGCGAAGGCGGGACUCUGGGCUGUUACUGACACUGAGGAGCGAAAGCAUGGGGAGCAAACAGG
rnacentral:rRNA from 1 species